UCGUCAGCUCGUGUCGUGAGAUGUUGGGUUAAGUCCCGCAACGAGCGCAACCCUUGUCAUUAGUUGCCAUCAUUUGGUUGGGCACUCUAAUGAGACUGCCGGUGACAAACCGGAGGAAGGUGGGGAUGACGUCAAGUCCUCAUGGCCCUUAUGGGUAGGGCUUCACACGUCAUACAAUGGUCGGUACAGAGGGUUGCCAACCCGCGAGGGGGGAGCUAAUCCCACAAAGCCGAUCGUAGUCCGGAUCGCAGUCUGCAACUCGACUGCGUGAAGUCGGAAUCGCUAGUAAUCGUGGAUCAGCAUGUCACGGUGAAUACGUUCCCGGGUCUU
rnacentral:rRNA from 1 species